AUGGAAUUUCUGGACUUGAAGGAUGAUGAAUUGGAUGAUGUGAUUGUUGGGGAUGAGGAGGUGAAGCGAUUUGAGGCUGAUGCUAGAUGGCUGGCGAUCGGGAAACUGAAUACGUCCCGCCCGUUCAGCUCUCCUGCCAUGUUCGAGACCUUGAAGUCAGUUUGGGGAUUAGCGCAUGUGCCAAGAUACAGGGAAGCAGGGGAUAAUCUCUUUAUAUUCCAGAUGUUUUGUUUGGGCGAUUGGAAGAAAGUCGUGCAUGGUGGCCCGUGGCUGUUCAAGGGCAUGGGCUUGCUUGUGGAAGAUUACGCUGGUAAAACUGAUCCCACUUCUGUUUCUUUCGACGGACUAUAUGUUUGGGCGCAGAUUCACAAGAUCCCAGAGCUGUACCGCCACGUGGAUGUUGUUGACCAGCUUGCUGCCCGGAUUGGUAGGGUUAAAGAGGUUCAGCUUGCCCCAAAACUUUACUAUGAAGGGGAU
rnacentral:rRNA from 1 species